rnacentral:rRNA from 1 species
AUACGUAGGGGGCGAGCGUUGUCCGGAAUGACUGGGCGUAAAGGGCGUGUAGGCGGCGGUGUAAGUCUGGAGUGAAAGUACCGCAUUCAAUGUGGGAAUUGCUUUGGAUACUGCAGUGCUAGAGUGCGGAAGAGGUAAGUGGAAUUCCCAGUGUAGCGGCGAAAUGCGUAGAGAUUGGGAGGAACACCAGUGGCGAAGGCGACUUACUGGGCCGUAACUGACGCUGAGGCGCGAAAGCGUGGGGAGCGAACAGGAUUAGAUACCCUGGUAGUCCACGCGGUAAACGGUGAAUGCUAGGUGUUGCGGGUAUCGACCCCUGCAGUGCCGGAGUAAACACAAUAAGCAUUCCGCCUGGGGAGUACGGCCGCAAGGUUGAAACUCAAAGGAAUCGACGGGG